CUUCCCAUAAUGUUACCAACGAAGGCAUGGCAUUGGUGAAGCACGCCGAAGAUGCUGCAAGUAACAAAAAGUACAUGUUCAACAAGUUAGAGCUUCAUGUACUCAUUUUAGGGAUUGACAAGGCUGGCAAAACGACUUUGCUUGAGAAGAUGAAGUCGGUGUACACGAAUGUAGAAGGUCUUCCUCCGGAUUGAAUUGUGGAAAGCAAUUGCUUCUCCAGGGCGUGGUAUUUUGGCCAUGGAUGAAUCCAAUGCUACAUGUGGAAAGCGGUUGGAUUCAAUUGGACUAGAGAACACCGAAGCUAACCGUCAAGCAUGGCUUGGUUAAAAUAUAAUUUUUAUGUGUAUGA